rnacentral:rRNA from 1 species
CCUACGGGAGGCAGCAGUGAGGAAUAUUGGUCAAUGGACGCAAGUCUGAACCAGCCAUGCCGCGUGCAGGAAGACGGCUCUAUGAGUUGUAAACUGCUUUUGUACGAGGGUAAACGCAGAUACGCGUAUCUGUCUGUAUGUAUCCUACGAAUAAGGAUCGGCUAACUCCGUGCCAGCAGCCGCGGUAAUACGGAGGAUUCAAGCGUUAUCCGGAUUUAUUGGGUUUAAAGGGUGCGUAGGCGGUCGGAUAAGUUAGAGGUGAAAUCCCGAGGCUCAACUUCGGAAUUGCCUCUGAUACUGUUCGGCUAGAGAGUAGUUGCGGUAGGCGGAAUGUAUGGUGUAGCGGUGAAAUGCUUAGAGAUCAUACAGAACACCGAUUGCGAAGGCAGCUUACCAAGCUACUUCUGACGCUCAUGCACGAAAGUGUGGGUAUCGAACAGGAUUAGAUACCCGGGUAGUC